CGCUUUCACUCCUACGGGAGGCAGCAGUGGGAAUCUUGGACAAUGGGGGCAACCCUGAUCCAGCCAUGCCGCGUGAGUGAUGAAGGCCUUAGGGUCGUAAAGCUCUUUCGCCUGUGAUGAUAAUGACAGUAGCAGGUAAAGAAACCCCGGCUAACUCCGUGCCAGCAGCCGCGGUAAUACGGAGGGGUUAGCGUUGUUCGGAAUUACUGGGCGUAAAGCGCGCGUAGGCGGAUUAGUCAGUUAGAGGUGAAAUCCCCAGGGCUCAACCCCUGGAACUGCCUUUAAUACUGCUAGUCUUGAGUUCGAGAGAGGUGAGUGGAAUUCCGAGUGUAGAGGUGAAAUUCGUAGAUAUUCGGAGGAACACCAGUGGCGAAGGCGGCUCACUGGCUCGAUACUGACGCUGAGGUGCGAAAGUGUGGGGAGCAAACAGGAUUAGAUACCCUGGUAG
rnacentral:rRNA from 1 species